rnacentral:tRNA from 1 species
GUGGCUGUAGCUCAGAUGGUAGAGCAGCAAGCUAACUGCGCGCCGUUGGUUCAAGUCCAACCAGUCACUC